UAUUGCGCAAUGGACGAAAGUCUGACGCAGCGACGCCGCGUGUGGGAGGAAGCUCUUCGGGGUGUAAACCUCUUUCAGUAGGGAAGAAGCGAAAGUGACGGUACCUGCAGAAGAAGCGCCGGCUAACUACGCGCCAGCAGCCGCGGUAACACGUAGGGCGCAAGCGUUAUCCGGAAUUAUUGGGCGUAAAGAGCUCGUAGGCGGUUUGUCGCGUCUGCCGUGAAAGUCCGGGGCUCAACUCCGGAUCUGCGGUGGGUACGGGCAGACUAGAGUGAUGUAGGGGAGACUGGAAUUCCUGGUGUAGCGGUGAAAUGCGCAGAUAUCAGGAGGAACACCGAUGGCGAAGGCAGGUCUCUGGGCAUUAACUGACGCUGAGGAGCGAAAGCAUGGGGAUCAAACA
rnacentral:rRNA from 1 species